UACGUAGGGUGCAAGCGUUAAUCGGAAUUACUGGGCGUAAAGCGUGCGCAGGCGGUUAUAUAAGACAGUUGUGAAAUCCCCGGGCUCAACCUGGGAACUGCAUCUGUGACUGUAUAGCUAGAGUACGGUAGAGGGGGGAUGGAAUUCCGCGUGUAGCAGUGAAAUGCGUAGAUAUGCGGAGGAACACCGAUGGCGAAGGCAAUCCCCCUGGACCUGUACUGACGCUCAUGCACGAAAGCGUGGGGGAGCAAACAGG
rnacentral:rRNA from 1 species